ensembl:lncRNA
GGGUGUCACGCGACGCAUGCGCAAGCCCGCCCUGGAAACAGUUGCUGGGAGGAACGUCGGAUCUCGCGCGUGCGCGAAAGGGAGUGCGGGCUGCCGGCCUAGAGCCAACGCCACUGUCUGCGCGGGUUAAGCACGUUGGUCACGUGUCGACCGCCAUCCCGGUUUGAGGAAGUUCGCGCGCCAAUCGCUGCUGAGACACUGGCGGGAGGAGUUGUGGUCACUGACUUUGGAGGACUCCGAUAGUGUGGUGGGUGGCUGAGGAGGCAGGCCGUGAAUCUGAGGGAGCACGAGGCGUGUGCAACGUGAUUCUCACGUGGAUGGGCCUUAGGGAGGGUGGAUCUCAGCCUGCGGCUUGGAAGCUUAUGGUGACUCUUCCGGAUAUGGGGCUGGAGAGCCCUGAGGGACGGACCCAAGAGUCAUCCACCCCAAUUGCUGCCUUGUGAUAGACGUCCACAGAUUUCCUCGUUGGGAGCUGUAAAGGUGAAUUAAAUUUGCCCAAGGCUGCACGGCCAGUUAGGGCCCACAGGAGAUGAAGUCCCCGGAGGGAUUCUUCACUGCGGGAUGAACCACCUGCGUCCUGGAUCAGGACUCGCGUUUUUUAUGCUUUUGGCUGACUACAGCAUUAUCAAGCGGUUCAGUUGUUAAAAGAGGGAUUCCGGUUGGGUUCACAUUCUUCUGAUUGUGAACCAGAAUGUCAGACCCAUCUUUAGCCAUCUAGAAACUGCUCUCAGAGAAACUAGCAUUUCUAGAGCAAUAGUUCCUAACUCUUGGGAAAGGGGAAAAGGGGUUCCAAGGAGAAAUCAAAUCCCUUAUUUUCAGGGUGUUUUAUCUGUCAAUCGACAAGAACUACAAAAGGAGACUGGCUGGCACAGUGGUAGACUACUUGCCUAGCACAUGGAGAGACCUAAAUUCAGUCCCCAGAUCCAGCAGAGUGAAAGAAAAAACCGGAUUGCAUUUAAUUCAUUUGUUCUGAAUUCAACUGACUGCCAAUUAAGUGUAUUCUGAAAAAUUGUGUUAAACAUGCAGAUAUUUUUCUUGUCCUUCUCUACACAUUUCAACUAACUAACAUCAUAUUUGGUAAUAUACUCCAGAGAUAAUUUAAGUAUCUGAAAUCAGUCAGGUCAUGGGGGUUUCCAACUAAAGUCACAGUUACUGGAAGGCUGAGGCAAGAGGAUCAACCCAGGCCAGCCAGAGUAACAAGAAGAUUCUCUCUCAUUAAUACAGACCAGACCUACAAUCAUAGCUAUUCAGACAGUUGAGGCAGGAGGAUCAAAAUUUUAAGGCCUAUCUGGGCCUCAGAUAAAAUGAUGCUGAGCAUGCCUGAGCAACUUAGACCUUCUUUAAAAAACAAAAUACAAAAAUGGCUGUGCAUAGUCCCAGUACUUGAGAGUAAGAGGCAGAUCUCUGAAUUCCAGGCUGGCUUGAUCUCCGUAGUUCCAGGACAGCCAGCACCACAUAUUGAGACCCUGAAUCAAAAAAACAAAAAACAAAACAAAAAAACCACAACCAAAUAAAACUCAGAAAGGAUUAGCGAUGUAGUUCAGAGGUAUUUGCCUAGCAGCCAUGAGGCCCUAAAGCCCUAGUACUGCAAAACAAAAACUAAGUAAACUGAAAGUAACCCACCCCUGUGAUUCCACUACUCAGUAUUAAGGAACAAAAACCUAGCUGAAAGCUGGAUUCACUGGAGUGAGAUGUCAGUGUGAAACCUGCCUGCAUUCUUUCAGGUUAUAGGCAGUUUUAGUAACCUAGGAACUGGGACAGGAUUGCAAGUUAAAGGCCUUUCUCCAACAGGAAAACCAAGUUUUUCUUACACGUGAGUACUGUGCCACUAAGUAGAAGAGCCUUGAGCAGGCAGGAGAGAUGGCUCAGUGUUAAAAGCAUUUGUUCCUUCAGAGGAUCCAGGUUCAAUUCUCAGAAUUCAAACACAACCCUCUAUAACAGGAUCCCAGACCUUAACACAGCGGGCUCCAUUGAUGACAGUGCCAUUCAGGCCAAAAAAUUCAGCAAACAGUACCACCACUUGCCUAAAUGAAAAAGACCAAAUCCAUCAGAGGCCAUAGUUCCAUAGUCUCUAAAUGUACUAACCUUGCUUAGCUGAAAUAUGUCAACCCAAAAUAUGUUUUUGUGCUUAGCUCACCCUGAGUAAGACUUAGGGGCUACAUCAGAAUUCCGAACACCCAGUGAGGUCACGGGUCUGCUAAUAAAGACUUUCUAUUGGCUUAAACCCAUGUCUUCUCUGGUGGAUACACAACACUGGAAGUUCAAAGCAUUCAUAUUCAAAAUUGAAAUUUGAAAAAGAGACGACUUGACUCAUCUUAAGAUUUUGUAUCUGCAGUCAUUGUGAACACAUAAGCAUUAGGGAAACCCAGAAUGUUUAACAUACAGGGUUGUCUCUUCAAAGACAGAUCCUUCGGGGCAUCUUUUUGUGUUCCGUGUCCUGUAAUUAAACUCUGGGAAACUACAACAGCCCAACCCAGGAUGUUUAAGUUGCCCAGAUUCAGUAAUGAAAAUGAGUCUCCCUCACUCCUGGUAAAGACCUGACCCACUAACGUGUCUACUGUGGGUGGAGGAAGUACAGAGUAGGUAGUACAAGAAGGUUGUUAUUAAAUGAGGUCACGUGACCUUACAGAAAAGAGGUUUGUAACUGACGUGAACAUUUUUGUCCUGUUAGGAGCAUGUUUGUGCAUACAGUAAGCAGAUACUGUGUUUUCUCCCAUUUCUUUAUCAUGAAACGUAGAAUCUAUUAAGAGGUCAGUGGUUGUGCCUCAUAAAUCUAUAUUACCAUAUUUAAGGUAUAGGACUAAUCAUUCUUCUGAAGACUUUGCUACCUGAGCCCUUGGGAGACCAGAACCUUACAUUCAAGAUUGUAGAUGCUGGGCACAAGAACUAUAGUAUUUUGUGUUUUCUUGGCUGGAUUUUGAUUUUUCUUCAGAGUGGUUGUUUAUCUGCUAUAUGCAAGUAUAGAACUUGGUUUUGAUAGAUUUGUAAAGACUUUGGGGGCUUUAAGAAAUAUUUUUUAUAUGUGUCUAAGCACGUUUGUACCACAUGCAUGCAGUGCCCUCAGAAGCCAAGUGUAUCAAAUCUCCUGAAACUCGUUAUAAACUUUUAUGAGACAUACCCUUGUCUCCACUCCCAAAUUACUUAAUACUUUUAAAUUUUAUGUAUAUGUUUUUUGUCUGAAUAUGUCUGUAUACCACAAAUGUGCCUGGUACCCUUGGAAGCCAGAAGGUGUCAGGUUAGAUCUGCUGCAACUGGAGUUACAGAUGAUUGUGAGCUGCCAUGUGGGUUCUGGGGACUGAACCCAGAUCCUCUCAAAAAGCAGCCACUGCUCUGGACCACUGACCCAUCACUAGCACUGAUACAGGACUUCUUAAAAAGCUGACUACACUGUACAUUAUGAAGUAAUAAACAUGAAACUUGGAGACUAGAGGUGAAGGGUAUGGUUUUAAAGUUAUGUGUGUGCUUGUGAGUUUGACACAGCAUAGGACCCCCUGGGGAGAAAGCCUCAAUGAAGGCUCGUCUAUGUCAUGUUUACCUGUGGGUACAUCUGUGGGAAGAUCCACCCUAAAUAUUGGGGGGUGGGGGGGUAAUCGUCUGUUAGUUCUCUGAUAAAACAACAUGGAAGCCAAAGGGUUUUGCUCUUGCCUGCUUGGCCUUCACUCAGUGCUGAAUUCAUCUGUUGCUGCUGAUGAUCCUUUAUCUGACUUUAGACCAGCUUCAGGCUUCCAGUGUUGAUGGAAGGCCUGAAGCUCCUCAGGAAUCCUCCAGGCCUUCAGCACCAAUAUAGGACUGCUGAGGUGUCAGCUUAUCUGCAUUGGACCUGGAGGCAGAGGGAGGAGCAGUCUAGAGUCCACACAGUCUCAAGAUGCUGGAGAACCUGUAGUCUACAGCCACUAAAACAAUCACAGUGAGAUAAAAGAGUGAAUGCGAAGAUGUGGAUGCUGGUUAUUAAAAGUGAACAAGAAACCAACUGUUCGUGACCUGUUGCUCAGUAGAGCCUGACUUCUCUCCCCCUGGACAAUGACUCUAAGAGAAAGCAAGUUCUAUAGGCUUAGAUUUUUCAAGACUUACUUUAAUAAGGGUACUUAAAUACUUUAACCUCCACUCUAGACCAUCACCCACCAGAGGUAGAG